rnacentral:lncRNA from 1 species
CAGGAGAAUUGCAAGUUCAAAAUCAGGCUCAGCAACUUAGCAAGGGCCUAAGCAAUUAGUGAGACCCUGUCUCUAAAUAAAAUAUAAAAAGGGCUGGAGAUAUGGUUCAGUGGUUAAAGGCCCUUGGGUUUAAUCCCCAGUACAAAAAAUGCAGAAAAAGGAUUUGACAAAAUAUAGUAUCCAUUCAUGUUUGAAGCACUGGAAAAGCUACAGACAGAAGGAAAAUAACUCAACAUUGUAAAAGCUAUAUAUGACAAACCCAAGGUCAACAUCAUUUUCAAUGGAGAAAAACUAAAAGCAUUCCCUUUAAAAAUACAAACAAAUGUCCAGUUUCACCACUUCUAUUCAACAUAGUCCUUGAAACUCUAGUCAGAACAAUUAGGCAAAAGGAAGAAAUUAAAGGGUUACAAAUAAGAAAAGAAGAACUCAAACUAUCUCUGUUUGCUGACAUGAUUCUAUAUUUAGAAGACCCAAAACUCUACCAGAAAACUUAUAGAACUCAUAAAUGAAUUUAGCAAAGUAGCAGGAUAUAAAAUUAACAUCCAGAAAUCAAUUGAGUUUCUACACUCCAAUAAUGAAUCAGCUAAAAGAGAAAUUAGAAAAAAAACAUCUCAUUCACAAUAGCCUAAAAAAAAAAAAAAACACCUUGGGAAUCAAUCUAACAAAAGAGGUGAAAGACCUUAGAAGAUGGAAAGAUCAGGCUAGGGUUGCAGUUAAGUGGUAGAGUGGUUGCCUAUCACAUGUGAAGCAUUGGGUUCAAUCCUCAGUGCCACAUAAAAAUAAAUACAUAAAAUAAAGGUAUUCUGUCCAUCUACAAGAAGGAGAACAAGAUGGAGGAGGAGAAGAAGGAGGAGGAGAAUGAAGAGGAGGAGGAGAAGAAGGAGGAGAACAAGAUGGAGGAGGAGAAGAAGCAGGAGGAGAAUGAAGAGGAGGAGGAGAAGAAGAAGAAGAAUGGGCUGGGGCUGUAGCUCAGUGGUGGAGCACUUGCCUAGCAUGUCUGAGGCACUGGGUUCAAUUCUCAGCACCACAUAUAAAUGAUCUUGUACAUUGCUGGUGGGACUGCAAACUGGUGCGGCCAAUCUGGAAAACAGUAUGGAGACUCCUGGGAAAGCUGGGAAUGGAACCACCAUUUGACCCAGCUAUUGCCCUUCUUGGACUUUUCCCUGAAGACCUUAAAAGAGCGUACUACAGGGAUACUGCUACAUCGAUGUUCAUAGCAGCACAAUUCACAAUUGCUAGACUGUGGAACC